GAUGAAGAACGUAGCGAAUUGCGAUAAGUAAUGUGAAUUGCAGAUUUUCAGUGAAUCAUCGAAUCUUUGAACGCACAUUGCGCCCUCUGGUAUUCCGGGGGGCAUGCCUGUUCGAGCGUCAUUAUAACCACUCAAGCUCUCGCUUGGUAUUGGGGCUCGCGGUUCCGCGGCCCCUAAAAUCAGUGGCGGUGCCUGUCGGCUCUACGCGUAGUAAUACUCCUCGCGAUUGAGUCCGGUAGGUCUACUUGCCAGCAACCCCCAAUUUUUACAGGUUGACCUCGGAUCAGGUAGGGAUACCCGCUGAACUUAAGCAUAUCAAUAAGCGGAGGA
rnacentral:misc_RNA from 1 species